rnacentral:rRNA from 1 species
AUUGAACGCUGGCGGCAUGCUUUACACAUGCAAGUCGAACGGUAACAGGCCGCAAGGUGCUGACGAGUGGCGAACGGGUGAGUAAUGCAUCGGAACGUGCCCAGUCGUGGGGGAUAACUACUCGAAAGAGUAGCUAAUACCGCAUACGAUCUAUGGAUGAAAGCGGGGGACCGAAAGGCCUCGCGCGAUUUGAGCGGCCGAUGUCAGAGUAGGUAGUUGGUGGGGUAAAGGCUCACCAAGCCAACGAUCUGUAGCUGGUCUGAGAGGACGACCAGCCACACUGGAACUGAGACACGGCCCAGACUCCUACGGGAGGCAGCAGUGGGGAAUUUUGGACAAUGGGCGCAAGCCUGAUCCAGCAAUGCCGCGUGCAGGAAGAAGGCCUUCGGGUUGUAAACUGCUUUUGUACGGAACGAAACGGCUCUGGUUAAUACCCGGGGCUAAUGACGGUACCGUAAGAAUAAGCACCGGCUAACUACGUG